rnacentral:rRNA from 1 species
AGCGAACGCUGGCGGCAGGCUUAACACAUGCAAGUCGAGCGGGCCUUUCGGGGUCAGCGGCGGACGGGUGAGUAACGCGUGGGAACGUGCCCUCUGGUUCGGAAUAACUCAGGGAAACUUGAGCUAAUACCGGAUACGCCCUUUUGGGGAAAGGCUUGCUGCCGGAGGAUCGGCCCGCGUCUGAUUAGCUAGUUGGUGAGGUAACGGCUCACCAAGGCGACGAUCAGUAGCUGGUCUGAGAGGAUGAUCAGCCACACUGGGACUGAGACACGGCCCAGACUCCUGCGGGAGGCAGCAGUGGGGAAUAUUGGACAAUGGGCGCAAGCCUGAUCCAGCCAUGCCGCGUGAGUGAUGAAGGCCUUAGGGUUGUAAAGCUCUUUUAUCCGGGACGAUAAUGACGGUACCGGAGGAAUAAGCCCCGGCUAACUUCGUG